rnacentral:tRNA from 1 species
ACGAUUGUGAUGAAAUUGGUAGACAUGAUUGAUUUAGGUUCAGUUGAUUUAUGAUCGUGCAGGUUCGAGUCCUGCCAAUCGUA